CAGCCGCCGCGGUAAUACGUAGGUCCCGAGCGUUGUCCGGAUUUAUUGGGCGUAAAGCGAGCGCAGGCGGUUAGAUAAGUCUGAAGUUAAAGGCUGUGGCUUAACCAUAGUACGCUUUGGAAACUGUUUAACUUGAGUGCAAGAGGGGAGAGUGGAAUUCCAUGUGUAGCGGUGAAAUGCGUAGAUAUAUGGAGGAACACCGGUGGCGAAAGCGGCUCUCUGGCUUGUAACUGACGCUGAGGCUCGAAAGCGUGGGGAGUAAACAGGAUUAGAUACCCCCGUAGUCCCUGUCUCUUAUACA
rnacentral:rRNA from 1 species